rnacentral:rRNA from 1 species
CGCUAUCGAUUGUUUAGUUGGGCACUUGCACUCCUCCGAAAUGGUAUCAUCGUUGGACAUUUAUCGCUUGCGAUGUUGUCCAAACGAAGUUAUCAGGAACGUUUGGUGGCUUGUGUCCUUCUCGGUGUAAAGUUGGUCACCUACCCGACCCGUCUUGAAACACGGACCAAGGAGUUUAGCGCAUGCGCGAGUCAUUGGAAAUUCAAAUCCACAGGCGAAAUGAAAGUGAACCAUCGUGUGAUCUUGUUCAUCUCGGUAUUCAGGAGCAGCACAGCCCUGCAGCGACCAUUCAUGGUGCUGCUGAGGCAGAGCGUAUGCGAUGAGACCCGAAAGAUGGUGAACUAUUCCCGAGCAGGAUGAAGCCAGAGGAAACUCCGGUGGAAGUCCGAAGCGGUUCUGACGUGCAAAUCGAUCGUCUGACUUGGGUAUAGGGGCGAAAGACUAA